AUCUUUUCUAUUACUCUAUUACUCAGGGCGACCAUCUUGCCCAGAGACCACAUGUUGAAACUCCAAGUCAGAGGUUGGAUUAAAGAUGACAGGGCCUAUCUGGGGGCAAAUUUAAGCCUUGCCAGUUUAAUAUUGGGUGCUAAGCAGAGUGGCUAAUGUGUAUGUUUCAUCACAUGUGUUUUGCUCUGGUCAGAAUGAAAAAAAGUAGUUUUCCUUUACAAUGAGGCUUGGCCCCCAGGGCGAUGGUGCCACAAGCCAGAUCACUGGGACCACUCAGAGAAAGGGAACACAGAAGCCUGGCAUGCCAGCAAAAAGGGAUCAACAAGAGACAGAGUGAGAAGGGACCACUUCAAACACGUGUCAUUUUACCCAAGAGCAGGGACAUGGAAUGGCACUGGGAAGGGCAAACAGGUAUGGUGAGGCCAACAGAUCAGGAGAUACUGCCAUUGAAGAGAUGCUUAGCUACACACACUUCCCAAGAAAGGGGCACACACCAGGCAGUGUAGGACCACAUGCGGAAGCAGCAGGAUCGGAAAAACAGCAGGAGCUGGGGGAAAGCAUGGGCAAGAACCUUCACUGUGCUUUU
rnacentral:lncRNA from 1 species